rnacentral:lncRNA from 1 species
AAAACGAAAAGUCAAUAAAAGAUUAUGUUAUGACAGUUAUGUCUUCAAUACACUUUUUUUGAAAGGCAAACUUUUAUUCCACACCAACAUAUAUACAAGGGAUCCAGCAAGUAGCUAUAUGUCCUGUCUUCAACAAUCGAUUUGCCACAGGUAGCGACAACAGGAACCGAUGCCUAAGAAGAAUGAGUUGCUCUAGAGAUAACAAACUUAAACUUAAGAUUACUUUCAAGUCUUUCGAGAAACUUGAGGUAUCUAUAGCUCCAACGGAGGUUCAACGAUGAAUGGUAAUAAGCACCUAAAAUCAUUAGGGGGUUAUAUAGUAAAUUACUAAUCAAACAUAAAACCAUGAAUCUGAUAAGUAAUGAAUGAGGUUAAAACAAAAAUCAUUGGAGUAUUGAUCUAAGCAAUAAGUUACAGUUUAUUAAUCACUAAACAUAAUAAUAAGGAAAAUAGCAAUUGCUGUGAACAUACUAAACAUACUUCGAAUUCAAAAUUAGAAAGUGAAACCUUCUAAGCCUAAGUCCAACAGGACUGCCUUUACACUGGUAGACUCUGUGAUUUCUUUUUGGGGUGAGCCACCUAUGAGUGUGUAAUAUAAAGAUCAAUUUGAACAAAACGUAUCCAAUCGUUACAGAUGUAAAAACAAUCAUGUUCCCUAAUGAAAUUUGGUACUGUAUAACACAAAUAUUAGCUAUCAAAUGUAAAAACCAUUAUGUUCAAUGGUAAAAUAAAAGUCUAAGCCUGAUGAAACUGAACAGGCUUAGACUUUCAAUACUUUCAUCAAGAGAGCAAUGGCUUUCUAUUAAGCUCUUUUCUUUUUUUCUUCAGUUAAGUCUGCAUAAAGGAUGCUUAGGUGUGCCGUAUAAGAUGCAAAUUUAACACAAGAAAUUGUAAGAAACAUUGAAUAGUUGAGAUGAGGGUAUCCAAGACUAAUCAAAUUGAGAUGAAAGUAUGACUUACGAGUCGGACAUUUGUAACCAAAAGGAGUCCAGCAGUGUGCACCAGUCUCCAUCACCUCACCUGAAUAUUUUCCUGCCCAAACCUAUGUGAGGAUGCUAUUUUUAUUACCGCAAGCAAAAAUGGGGCCACAAUGCCAGACGAGUCUGCGGAUUUUAUGUCCUGCAAAGUGCACCAAUUUCACAUACUUCAAUCUAUUUAUAAGAUGAGGUGUAAAUGGAAUUUACUUAUAACUUGUUUGGUUCGAGGGCUAUCUUAAUAUGAAAUGAAUCAAAUUAAAAAAAAUUAGCUUACCUGAAGAGAAAUGGAUUCUAGUUAUUUUACGUAAUCAGCUAUAUAACACCAAGCCGGAAGAUAAAAGUUGGAGCAAAUCUUAUUCAAGAUUUUUUUUCCUCAGGGCGAAGGGAUUUUUCUCCAGGGGAAAGAUCUCUAUGACAGUUUUGUGCAUCAAGUUCAUUUUCUAUUUGCAUAUCGAAAAUGACUAAAAAAAAUCAUGAAUUAGAGGCUUCCUAAGGGUACACGAUUCCAUAUUGAUGAUUAAAAGAAGCUCAAGUUAUGCAACAAUCUUUCACUUAAUAACAUGGUUACAUCCAAAUGCAAUUAAUUCCCAAACAUCAAAAACUGACAAAAUGUGAUACCUUAUCGGUCAACCCUUGAGCAGCAGCAAGGUCAUAAACCCUCUUAGCUUGCAUAGGGCUGAGGGUGACUCCGUGACAUUCAGCUCCAUACAUUCUUGCUAGGUACUUUGAGCUACCUCCUAUGCCAUAGCCAACAUCAACUAUGCUUUUAGGUUUCUUUUCUUGAUCAUCUACAACCAAAUUCAUAUAGGACAAAGAGCAAAAUGGUAAGUGAGGGAAUCACUUUCAAUAGACUGGCAAAUCACAAUCCACUGUAAAAAAAACACUAUUAAUGAAACAGUACAUUAAAAGUACAAUUUGCAUCUGACACCUUAUUUAAUUUCAACUUUCAAUCCUGUAAAAGUUCACCUAAAAUUCAACUUUAAUUUUCAAAAACCUGAUAAACAGUUAUAAAUCUUAUAAAAAUUAAUGGAAAAUAUAUAAUCCAUAACCAUAUCAUUCACAAUCUACCAUAGCAUUAGCAAAUGAGUUUUUUCAGUAAAAGUAGAAUUUGAAUAAAGCACCUUACUUAGUUACAAAUUUCAAUCCUGUAAAAUUUCUCCUAUAAUUCAACGCUAAUUUUCCAAAACCUAAUUAACAAUUACAAUAUAAAAGCGAUAAACAAACACCUAAUCUGUAACCAUAUCAUUCACAAACAGCCGUAGAGCUUUAGCAAAUUCAACAAUAAACGAAUUCAUUCAACAAAAGCGAGUAUAAAAUAUAGCACUACCCUUCUUAAAAUCUGCAAGUCCAACAAUGGGGAGAUACUCCUUAAUCCGAGACCUAAAAUAAGGAAAAUUAUGUUAAAUAAAAUUAAAAAAGACACAAAUAGGAAAAACAUUAAACAAUAAGAAGUAAAAACAUAAACCAUGAAAUUGAGUUGAUCUAAACCUCAUAUCGAUACACUGAAAAUCUAAAAGUGAAAAAAAAGUAACAUACAUGUGUAAAUCGGAAAGAAGAGAACGUCAACAGAAAAGAAAAAGCCUGAUCCUUAACCUAAAAAGCAUUGAGAAGAAAGGAAUGAACAAAAAUACAAAUCAAAUGAGUAUUUUCGAGAAGUAUGUUUCUAAGAAAUAGACAUAACUAUGAUGAUAACUAUUAAAAUCAAAUGAAAGCUAGUGUUUGAAUCUUAUCGAUAUCUCAUUAGGAACGGCAAUUAAAGAGAUGAUCACUUGCUUGGAAUGGAGAUGGAGAUGGAAGAUCUCUAGGGUUUUGGAAAAGA